CCCAAACCGACGCACUCCAACGAGGGCCUGGCACCCCCAUCAGGCCGACCUCCCAUAACGAUGGCCACGCCAGACUGCCAAACAGAGACAUUGAGCAGUUCCACCUCACCGGAGACACCACACAUCGCCAUCGACCCACACUGACACAACCCUCACCGCCAUUGGUCGACACAUGCCAGAUCUGUGCAGAGCCCGCACCGCCGUCAAACACCACCACCAACAUGACCCAACACCCUCCACGCCUCCUAUCACGAAGCAGAUGGACAUGCCGGCUUCGUCGGUGCCUAUGUGUAGCCAUGCCACGACGCCCGACCACCGCAUUGUGUCCGGCUCGUCAGAGCCGCCCCGCACUGGCCCAACACGCAAGGAUAAGAGGUCACCCCGCAGCCACCGGCUCUAGCCGAUCUUUCCCCGACUAAGCACGCUGGCGGUGGCGAGUGAGGGGGAGGAGGAGGAGGAGUGCCCUAUGGAGACGCGUUAGAGUUCCCUCCCCAUCACCUCGCCGGGAACAACAAGGGAGUGGAUGGGGGAUUUUUCCUGGUCCCCAUUGAAUUCACACAACGAGCACCAAUGAUGCUCAUUAACCUCCUCCACCUAGUCUUUCCUCUCAGUCUCGUCUCCCGUUUCUUGCUACACCGGCAUCACCACCGGUGUGCUCCUCUCGUCCUCCUCUCUCGCACGUUGUGGACUAGCGCCAUCGUCGGAGUCGUUCCUCUCAACCUACUCUCUCGGGUGUUAAUACACUCACACGGUCGGCGUUCCUCUUUGCCUUCUCUCCUAUGUCCUGUUAGACUCAAGCCAUCGCGGGCAUCUCUCGGCCUCCUUGACCGCGUCCUACUACAUUAGCAUUGUCGCCAUC
rnacentral:lncRNA from 1 species